AUUGAACGCUGGCGGCAGGCCUAACACAUGCAAGUCGAACGAGCGGCGGACGGGUUAGUAAUGUCUGGGAAACUGCCUGAUGGAGGGGGAUCACUACUGGAAACGGUAGCUAAUACCGCAUACCAUCGGAUGUGCCCAGAUGGGAUUAGCUAGUAGGUGGGGUAAAGGCUCACCUAGGCGACGAUCCCUAGCUGGUCUGAGAGGAUGACCAGCCACACUGGAACUGAGACACGGUCCAGACUCCUACGGGAGGCAGCAGUGGGGAAUAUUGCACAAUGGGCGCAAGCCUGAUGCAGCCAGGCCGCGUGUGUGAAGAAGGCCUUCGGGUUGGAAAGUACUUUCAGCGAGGAGGCGUUACCCGCAGAAGAAGCACCGGCUAACUCCGUGCCAGCAGCCGCGGUAAUUC
rnacentral:rRNA from 1 species